UACGUAGGGUGCAAGCGUUGUCCGGAAUUAUUGGGCGUAAAGAGCUCGUAGGCGGUCUGUCGCGUCGGAUGUGAAAAUCCAGGGCUCAACCCUGGACCUGCAUUCGAUACGGGCAGACUAGAGUUCGGUAGGGGAGACUGGAAUUCCUGGUGUAGCGGUGAAAUGCGCAGAUAUCAGGAGGAACACCGAUGGCGAAGGCGGGUCUCUGGGCCGAAACUGACGCUGAGGAGCGAAAGCGUGGGGAGCGAACAGG
rnacentral:rRNA from 1 species